rnacentral:rRNA from 1 species
UACAGAGGUGGCAAGCGUUGUUCGGAAUUACUGGGCGUAAAGGGCGCGUAGGCGGCCAUCUAAGUCAGACGUGAAAUCCCCCGGCUUAACCUGGGAACUGCGUCUGAUACUGGACGGCUCGAGUUUGGGAGAGGGAUGCAGAAUUCCAGGUGUAGCGGUGAAAUGCGUAGAUAUCUGGAGGAACACCGGUGGCGAAGGCGGCAUUCUGGACCAUAACUGACACUGAGAGACGAAAGCCAGGGGAGCAAACGGG